rnacentral:rRNA from 1 species
AACGAACGCUGGCGGCAUGCCUAACACAUGCAAGUCGAACGAGACCUUCGGGUCUAGUGGCGCACGGGUGCGUAACGCGUGGGAACCUGCCCUUAGGUUCGGAAUAACUCCCCGAAAGGGGUGCUAAUACCGGAUAAUGUCUUCGGACCAAAGAUUUAUCGCCUUUGGAUGGGCCCGCGUUGGAUUAGCUAGUUGGUAGGGUAAAAGCCUACCAAGGCGACGAUCCAUAGCUGGUCUGAGAGGAUGAUCAGCCACACUGGAACUGAGACACGGUCCAGACUCUUACGGAAGGGCGCAGUGGGGAAGCGUGGACAAUGGGCGCAAGCCUGGUACAGCCAUACCGCGUGGGUUAAGAAGGCCCUCGGGUUGGAAAGCCCUUUUAUUGGUAAAGAAAAGCAGCCGGUUAAUACCCCGCUGUUCUGACGGUACUGAAAGAAUAAGCACCGGCUAACUUCGUG